rnacentral:rRNA from 1 species
GUGCCAGCAGCCGCGGUAAUACGGAGGAUGCGAGCGUUAUCCGGAUUCAUUGGGUUUAAAGGGUGCGCAGGCGGCGCGCUAAGUCAGCGGUGAAAUGCAGGGGCCCAACCCCGGCAGUGCCGUUGAUACUGGCGCGCUGGAAUGCGGUCGAGGCGGGCGGAAUGUGGCGUGUAGCGGUGAAAUGCAUAGAUAUGCCACAGAACUCCGAUAGCGAAGNGCAGCUCGCCAGGCCUGCAUUGACGCUCAGGCACGAAAGCGUGGGGAUCGAACAGGAUUAGAUACCCUGGUAGUUCACGCCGUAAACGAUGGACGCUCGUCGUCGGCGGCACACGGCCGGCGGCCAAGCGAAAGUGAUAAGCCGUCCCACCUGGGGAGUACGGUCGCAAGGCUUGAAACUCAAAGGAAUUGACGGGGGCCCGCACAAGCGGUUGGAGCAUGUGGUUUAAUUCGAUGAUAACGCGAGGAACCUUACCCGGGCUGGAACGCAGCGGGACGGGGGCGGAGACGUCCCUUCCCUUCGGGGCCGGCUGCGAGGUGCUGCAUGGUUGUCGUCAGCUCGUGCCGUGAGGUGUCGGGUCAAGUCCCAUAACGAGCGCAACCCCUGCGUCCAGUUGCCACCGGUACGGCCGGGCACUUCUGGACGGACUGCCCGCGCAAGCGGAGAGGAGGGCGGGGAUGACGUCAAAUCAGCACGGCCCUUACGUCCGGGGCGACACACGUGCUACAAUGGCCGGCACAGAGGGCAGCCACGCGGCGACGCGGAGCGAAUCCCGAAAGCCGGUCUCAGUCCGGAUCGGAGCCUGCAACCCGGCUCCGUGAAGCUGGAAUCGCUAGUAAUCGCGCAUCAGCCAUGGCGCGGUGAAUACGUUCCCGGGCCUUGUACACACCGCCCGU